AUGUGGCUGAGGAGGGUGAUGAAGAAGGAGAAACCUCAGCAAAAAGCAUUGGCAGGAGGAUUCUUUACCACUGAACCACCUGGGAAGCCCUCAAGUACAAAGGCACAGGAUCCAAUGGAACCAGCUUUUGGAGCAAAUGGAAAGUUGAAUAUUAGCAGUGCAAGUUAAUUCCUCCUGGCUCUAUUUAACCAGGUCUUCAAGAAAAAUGAGCAAGGAAAAGAACUGCAAGAAAGAAAAGGGAUAAGAUUUAUAAAUGAAAUGUGUUUUUAAAUGAGGAAAGUAAAGUAUGAAAAUAUUUAUAUAAAUAAUUUUUGUAAAAUAAAAAAUUUCAAGGAGUCUAUGCAUUCAUAAAAUUAGUUGUAUUUUAUAUAUGUGAGUAAUAAGCAAAGAUGCACAAUGUGGAAGGAUUUUGGUCCUGUCGGUUGCUUUGAUGGAGAAAGAGGUGAUGGAAUUAAGCAAACACAAGAGUAAAAAAAAAA
rnacentral:lncRNA from 1 species